ensembl:lncRNA
CCACUGCCGAGCCGGCAUCUUAUGAGGACACCUACGCGCCCGCGGCGAGGACCCUCAACAUGGCGGCGCCCGCAGGGCGAGCGGCUGUGACGUCACCAGAGGAGGCGGGGCCUCGGAGAGACGCUUCGCGGCGGCGCGAGGACCAGCCGCCGGCCGCCGUAACGUAACAUGGCGGCGCCCGUGGCCCGAUCUCGAGGGCCGCGGAAGAUGACGUUAGCAGAGGAGUGGGCUGGCUCGGCCGACCUACGCCCCCUUCAGCCCUGAAGUGGACAGAACCCCGACGCGGCGGCUGGCGAGGGGCCCCGCCCCUCCACGGACGGCCGCCGGGGGGCGGCCAGGACGCCGGGUUCCCGCGCCGCUGGGAGCGAGGUUGUCGAGGUCAGAAGGACAUUUAGGGAAAUAUUUGCCAAAUAGAGUCGGGUGGGGUCCAGCUCUCGUCCGUUCCCUAGACAGCCCGCGUGCGCUGACCACCUGCGACGUGCCUGGCACAGUUCGAGUUGCUGGGGACACAGUGCUUGGACCCGGACCUCAUCAUCUCCGGAAAGAGUACCUGUGUAUGAGCCCCCCUUCAGAUCCCCCUCUGCCACCAGAGCCACAGCGCCCCAGCCUUUCCACUUCAUCCAGACCUGUGAGGGGAGAGGGUCAGGGAGCACCCAGUGCCUCACCCGUCUUCAGGUACCUGGGCGGUGGAGAGGUCAGCAGUCCAGACCCUUCCCAUCAAGCCUGCUGUCCUCUGAGACUGGAGUGAGGCCCGACUCUGCUUUUAUUCUACUUGAGUCGGUUUUUCUUCCUUCCGCCAGCAAUCCCGAAGCCCAGCACUACGACGUGUUGAAACUGUGUCCUGAUGUGUGUGUCAGACAUAAAGUACUGUUACGUGUAUGUUGGUGUCUUCGGUGGACAGGUGCGAUUGUGCUGAUCUUGUAUCCACAUUUUAGCUUUCCAUCCCCCUAGGAUGAAACCCUCACCUUGCUUCCACUUGCCCCACCCUAUGGACAGUCUACAGUGAGGACCCUCCUACAAGGUCCUCUCAGACUACAUGUAAGAGUCUGGGAGGUGCAUACCCCAGAGUCGGGGUGUUGGCCAGAGGUCACCAGGUAGUGUUAAAGAGGGCUGUUAAAAGUUCUCUAGGCGGACUGUGCUGGUUCACUUCCCACAGUUGACACAGGCUUGCGAGAGCCAAUUGCUAAAUUUUAAGGAAUUUUAUAAGCUUGUCAUUAAACACUGCCAUUGUUAAAAAUGUAACUUCAGGGCUUCCCUGGUGGUGCAGUGGUUGAGAAUCCGCCUGCCAAUGCAGGGGACACGGGUUCAAGCCCUGGUCCGGGAAGAUCCCACAUGCCGCAGAGCAACUAACUAAGCCCGUGUGCCACAACUACUGAGCCUGCACUCUAGAGCCCACGAGCCACAACUACUGAAGCCUGUGCGCCUAGAGCCCGUGCUCCGCAACAAGAGAAGCCACUGCAAUGAGAAGCCCGUGCACCACAACGAAGAGUAGCCCCCGCUUGCCGCAACUAGAGAAAGCCCAUGCGCAGCAACAAAGGCCCAAUGCAGCCAAAAAUAAAAUAAGUUUUUAAAAAAAUGUAACUUCAUUUUAUUGUAUUCAUUUUACCCAUUUCUGUCUGUCUGUUGUAACUGACUGGGAUGGCGGAGGUCUGUAUAACGUUGUACACCGCGCUUCUCAUCGAACCCCACUUUCACAGAUAACACACUGGCAGCUCGAACGCAGCAAAGAUGGGAGUACUUACACCAUGGAUAUUGGCAAAUGCCACAGAUCGGGGCUUGAUUGUCUAGACUUAAACUGAUAGAGAGAAUGCUAACAAUGAAGAUUAAACUUAAAAGUAUGUUGUGUCCGUAGUCAUUACAUUGUAAAUAGCACACACACGAUGUAUAAACAUAUUCUGUAACCUAAUUUCUUUCCUCAGUGGAGUACAUGUCCAGUGAACCCAAACAUCUUUAGUUUUUCUCUAAUGAAAAGCAAAAGUAGCAAAACUUAGGCUUAUUUAGCAGUUAGUCUUCCAGUGUCUUAUUUGGGAAUGACCUGGGUACUCGAGGAAUUCCUGCUGUGAAUGGAAGAUAUUACCUUUCAAUAUGUCAUGUCAGUAAACAAAGGAUGUUGUAGCCAUCAGUCACUACAGCCGCAUCCCGGACGGUGAGCCACGAGGGAGCUCAGGAUGGAGACAGGACGCCACCGUCAAACCGUCAGCUGCUGCAUCUGCCCCGACCCGCACAGUGCACCCGGAGGAAACUCAGGCUGCCAAAGCAUGGGAUACUGGCCCCAGAUGACUACGAUGCGUAGCAAAGGAAUGAUUUCAUUAACAGUGAUCCUUUGAAGCUCCGACUACCUGGUCUUUGUUGCAAAAUACCCUUUGCAUCCUGGCCCCUCCCUCACCUCUUCAGAGCAGUCUCUGCGUUAUCUGAGAUGCUGUGUCCUGGACUUAAGUCCUCAGUUUUGUCCACCAAAUAAAACAACUCAACUUUUAGGUUGUGCUUUUUUUUUUUUUUCAGUCUACACCAUCUAACUUAAUUUAGCAGUUCCAAGUUACUAAAAAUCUGGAGGAACCAUUUUAAGAAGACAGUCCUAGAACAUAAUUAUUCCUAAAGAGUUCAUCUAAAAACUCUUACCUCAUAUACAUUUAAUUUACUUAAAAGUUUUGACUUGGCCUCUGUGCACCAGUGCCAAAUCAAAUCUUGGAGGUAGAGUUUUGGGUGAAGUAGUAAAGAAUGGCUUUAUUGCUUUGCCAGGCAAAGGGGGACACAGGGGCUCAUGCCCCUCAAAACUGUCCCAACCCGGGAGGAUUUGGUGGGUUUUAUAGCAACGGUUCAAAGGCAGGUUGCUGGUAAGGAUCAGAGUGUGUGCAGGGCCUGCGCUCCUUUAAUCUGGCCUCAGGUGGUCUCUUGAUGAGCUUCUCUGGAAUGAAGAAUGCUAACAUCUUCCAUUUGUUGGGGGUUUUAGUUCUGUAAAGAGCUCAAAGAUAUUGUUAUGUGCAUCCCUUGAGGGGGAACCAGGACCCUGCCCCAAGGCUGCACCAUUGUUUCUUGGCCACUCCUCCCUUACUUCUGCAUCCCCUCCCUUCCCUGAUUAGCAACUGUUCAAAUCUGCCCCUUGGGACUCAGGGAAGGUCAUGGAGGCUGGAGUCUGAUCUCUACAAACAAGAAACGGGGGACAAAGAAAGGUUUGCAUGCCCAGGAGUCUCACAGGGUCUUGCUCUGUUUCAGUUUUAUCAUAUCAAGUUAUUUUUCUUGCUGACAAGUUUUGUAACAGGAAUAAUCAGAUCUUAAUUUGACUUGUAGUAAAGCUAAUACAAUAAAAGUGUUACACUUAAUGCUGGUGAGUCUAAAGACGUGUCUGUAUUAAUUAAACCAGACUUGUUUUCAUUCAUUAAAAAUUAAUCCUAGAUGAUAUGAUCCUGAAAUUCAUUUAGGUUAGUCUUAUAUUUCUGAGUAUCUACAUAAGCACUUAAUUUCCCUUAAGCCAAUUAAAUAGAGCUCUUUUACAAAUUAGUUUUGGCAAUACCACACAUCUACAAAACACACAUGCAUAGAUACAUACAAACAGAGACCCUGCACUUCUGAAACCAAGCAGAAUCCUGUGGGGCUCCUGGGCAUGAAAGCCUUUCUGUGUCCCCCAUUUCUUGUUUGUAGGAAAUAGACUUCAGCCUCCACCACCUUCCCUGAGUCCUAAAAGGCAGGUCCAAACAGUUGCUAAUCAGGGAAGGGAGGGGAUGCAGAGACAAGGGAGGAGCUGCCAAGAAACAAUAGUGCAGCCUUGGGGCAGGGUCCUGCACCACAACUACUGAGCUCGUGUGCCUCAACUAAAGAGCCUGUGUGCCGCAAAGUACAGAGCCCGGGUGCUCUGGAACCCGUGUGCCACAACUAGAGAGAAGCCCACCCACUGCAACGAAAGAUCUUGCGUACCUCAACGAAGAUCCUGCGUGCUGCAACCAAGACCCAAUGCAGCC